rnacentral:rRNA from 1 species
UACGUAGGGGGCUAGCGUUGUCCGGAAUCAUUGGGCGUAAAGAGCGCGCAGGCGGUCGUUCAAGUCGCGUGUGAAAGCCCCCGGCUCAACUGGGGAGGGUCACGCGAUACUGAUCGACUCGAAGGCAGGAGAGGGUAGUGGAAUUCCCGGUGUAGUGGUGAAAUGCGUAGAUAUCGGGAGGAACACCAGUGGCGAAGGCGACUACCUGGCCUGUUCUUGACGCCGAGGCGCGAAAGCUAGGGGAGCAAACGGG